rnacentral:rRNA from 1 species
GAUGAACGCUGGCGGCGUGCCUAAUACAUGCAAGUCGAGCGCGACUGAUUACACCGUUCUUCGGAACACCGUAAUCAUCGAGCGGCGGACGGGUGAGUAGCACGUGGGCAACCUACCCUUAAGACUGGGAUAACCGCGGGAAACCGUGGCUAAUACCGGAUAAUACUUUUAUACAACGGUAUAGAAGUUGAAAGGUGGAUUUCUAUCACUUAAGGAUGGGCCUGCGGCGCAUUAGCUGGUUGGUAAGGUAACGGCUUACCAAGGCGACGAUGCGUAGCCGACCUGAGAGGGUGAUCGGCCACACUGGAACUGAGACACGGUCCAGACUCCUACGGGAGGCAGCAGUAGGGAAUCUUCCGCAAUGGGCGAAAGCCUGACGGAGCAACGCCGCGUGUGCGAAGAAGGUCUUCGGAUCGUAAAGCACUGUUGUUAAGGAAGAACGACAGUAAGAGUAACUGUUUACCGUGUGACGGUACUUAACCAGAAAGCCACGGCUAACUACGUG